UACCUUAUUCUUAUAGCUAAAAAUCCAACAGGUGACACAUAUAUAUUAUAGCAGGUGAAACAUCUGAUAAUCUCUUUAAAGAAAAAGCUGCAGCUGCUGCAUUAAUUGGAAAUGGAAAUUUUAGACACUGUAGAUAAACAAUGUGAAUCAAUUGACUUUUCAAAUUCAUGUAGACAAUUUUACAUGACAAGACUUAAGGCAACAGAAGAUUUUAAACGACAAGUUGCAGAAUCAAAUGCAUCUUGUCAGCAAGAUUCCAAAAGAAAAACUACAAAAAUUGAUAGUGCUAUGGAAACACUUAGAAAAGAAAUGGCCUCCUUAAUGGACCAAGAUUUAUCUCUUAUGAAACAACUGCUGACGUUAAAUGAAACAAUAGAGGAAAUAAAAUUCAAAAGGCUCCAUGGUUCGAAUAGUAACUCCAUGGGAACGAGUUCUUGUAACCUUGACAACAGUGAUUGGUAUGUAGGUGACAAUGAAGUGCAAAAACAAAGCUGUGAUACACAAUGUGAAAGACUGGCAGUUCCUCAUAUUCCUUCCAUCAAAAUAACUUCAGACAGUUGUACAAGUAUAAAAAAAUCUCAAAAUCUGGACAAUUAUAAAUUCGUAGAAAAAGAAAUGGUUAUAGAUGGCACAAAAAGACAUAUAAUUCACGGCAGAGGGAAUUUCUCUAUGGAUUCUGGAUAUGGCGAGACAGAAGACUAUCAAACAGAUGUCGAAAUGACCUUGUAGUGGUCAGUCCCAGCCAAAAUACAGACAUUAUCUAAUAUUCAAUCAUGUUGGCACAUUAGCCUCGCAUAAAUCAAUCAAUUUAACACGGCCAUGGACAGUCAGUCCCAGAUAAUAAUCUAUAAUUAAUGAGCAGACCACAGACAGACGGGGUAGAACAAGAAAAACAACCUGGCGGAAGAAGAUUUAUCCGGCAGAUCACUUGUGUAGAAGACCACAAGAUGGAAUGCACGACAAUUUCAAUUUAUAUAAUUAUAAACAAUGUUCUAGUCAAUUUUUUUUUUUAUUAAAUUCAUUAUCUGUUAUAAAUUGUAACUUUAUCAAUUCUUUGUGUACUGUUGCAAUUAUUGCUAGAUAACUUUUUAUUAAAAAAAAUCUACUAUUUUACACAGAAGAGAUAAACACAGUAGAAACUGAA